AACGAACGCUGGCGGCAGGCUUAACACAUGCAAGUCGAGCGCCUCGCAGGAGGAGCGGCAGACGGGUGAGUAACGCGUGGGAACGUACCCUUAUCUUCGGAAUAGCUCUGGGAAACUGGAAGUAAUACCGAAUGUGCCAUAAGGGGGAAAGUUUUAUCGGAUAAGGAUCGGCCCGCGUUGGAUUAGCUAGUUGGUGGGGUAAAGGCCUACCAAGGCGACGAUCCAUAGCUGGUCUGAGAGGAUGAUCAGCCACAUUGGGACUGAGACACGGCCCAAACUCCUACGGGAGGCAGCAGUGGGGAAUAUUGGACAAUGGGCGCAAGCCUGAUCCAGCCAUGCCGCGUGAGUGAUGAAGGCCUUAGGGUUGUAAAGCUCUUUCACCGGAGAAGAUAAUGACGGUAGCCGGAGAAGAAGCCCCGGCUAACUUCGUG
rnacentral:rRNA from 1 species